UACAGAGACUGCAAGCGUUAUUCGGAUUCACUUGGGCGUAAAGGGUGCGCAGGCGGCCGUAUGUGUGAGGCGUGAAAGCCCGGGGCUUAACCCCGGAAUUGCACCUCAAACUAUACGGCUAGAGCAUUGGAGAGGGUAGCAGAAUUCAUGGUGUAGCAGUGAAAUGCGUAGAUAUCAUGAGGAAUACCAGAGGCGAAGGCGGCUACCUGGACAAUUGCUGACGCUCAGGCACGAAAGCGUGGGAGCAAAAGGG
rnacentral:rRNA from 1 species